GAAUGUGAAGGUGAUCUGGCUGUCACAUCUGUCAUCCCAUAGGUUUAUUGGAAUGAUCUGGCUUCUGGACGAGUGUCCCCUUCCUCCUUCACAGAUCCAGGUGUGCCUCUCCUGAAGGUGCGGGCUGGGCAGAGAGACCCACCUUCCGGGAUAAAGUGGGCCUGUUAAGGUCAGGGGUGUAGGAGCAGCUGCGCCCCGCUGCAGAACCCCAAACCUGCUCUCAAAGUCCAUUUGCAGGAGAACGUAGAAUAGCCGAGUUUCUAAGGCUGCAGCCAUGCAGAGGCGCUGCACACAGUCAGCCUCUCUUA
rnacentral:snRNA from 1 species